rnacentral:rRNA from 1 species
GACGAACGCUGGCGGCGUGCUUAACACAUGCAAGUCGAACGAUGAACUUGGAGCUUGCUCUGGGGGAUUAGUGGCGAACGGGUGAGUAACACGUGAGUAACCUGCCCUGGACUCUGGGAUAACUUCGAGAAAUCGGAGCUAAUACCGGAUAGGACCUUGCACCGCAUGGUGUGGGGUGGAAAGUUUUUCGGUUUGGGAUGGACUCGCGGCCUAUCAGCUUGUUGGUGAGGUAAUGGCUCACCACGGCGUCGACGGGUAGCCGGCCUGAGAGGGUGAACGGCCGAAAUGGGAAUGGGAAACGGCCCAGACUCCUAAGGGAGGCAGCAGUGGGGAAUAUUGCACAAUGGGCGGAAGCCUGAUGCAGCAACGCCGCGGGCGGGAUGACGGCCUUCGGGUUGUAAACCGCUUUUAGUAGGGAAGAAGCCUUCGGGUGACGGUACCUGCAGAAAAAGGACCGGCUAACUACGUGCCAGCUGCCGCCGUAACAC